UUCUAUUAAGGUUGCUACUUCUUUUCCUCUCAGAAAACAUCAGGCUGCAGCAAAGGCACUGAUGUGGUAUCAAUUCAGCCUGGGAAUUCAGCCUGAGAACCUUAGCUUUAAUACACACACGCAUACAUAUACAUAUACACACAAACACACACACACACAUAUAUAUAUACACACAGAGUGACGACGGCCCAGCUUGCUCUGAGGGAAGGAGUGAAGAGACAGAAGCAACCGGGGUAGCUGCUAUCAUUCAGCUCCAUUGUUCGAGCUGAGGUGGGCCCCCCUACCUUCCCCAACUGCUACCACAGAGCUACCUAGGAGUCAUCUUGCUCUGAGGGGAGGAGAGAAGAGACAUACACAAGCUGGGGAGCUGCAACCAUCCAGCUCCCAUGUACCAGCUGAGGUGGCCUCUUUCUCCCUGCCAACAACCACCACAGAACAACCAGGGACCAUCUUGCUCUGAGGGGAGGAGAGAACAGACAAAUCUUAAAGCACACCACAUGUAAAGAUGUAAACAUGAUCAAAGGCUCUGGCUGUCAUCCAGACUUAAUUAUUACUGAAUAGUCCUACUGAAAUUAAGUCGGUCUUUAGAGUAACUCCUGAGCAGUAAUAUUCAGUUCCCAGUCUGGAUGAGGGCUUCUUGUGGCUACUAUUUAUGAAUAUGAGUCCACUGAGUACAUGAACAAUCAACAGUCUGAAGUAUGAACCACUGGACCAAGCAGAGUCAUGAACAAUGAGCAUUGCUAUCCCUAAGGUGUGGGAGCCCCCUUAACAUUUUAAAUAAAUAAAUAAUAUACAUUUUAUGUCAAACCAAGACACAACUAUACAGACUUCAACACAUUUGCAUUCCAAACUUGAAUUCCAAAAUUCAAGUUGGAAAGCAUCAUACCACCAUCCAUCCAAAUUAUUCACAGAAUGCCCACUGCUCCUCCAUUUCAAAGGAAGAAAAUAAUCAAGUUAAACAUUACACACACACACACACCGUGACAGAUGCAGUAUUUUUAACACAAGGAGGCAAGCAUUCAAGCGUCUUUCUGUUCAACACCCCCACCCUUUUGUAUUACUAAAAUAUUGUUAGCCUUGAUUAUUAUUAUUUUAAGACAACUGACAGAUUACUGACAGCAUCUAAGAAGACCCGUAUUGGUGUCUGCAGCCGCAAUCCAAUGGGCCACGUACAUAGGUGAAAACCCCAUAGAACUCAGCAUUCUCUCUGCCCUCAUUCUCUCAGACUAACAUUUUGUGCAAUGUCCCGAACAUAGGACACACAGCUACAUACUCCAUGCAAAGUAUAGAACUAAACCACUGGCUCAUGGUUUUCUAAGCCUGCAUUUUAAUCAUACUUAAAAUCCAAUGGAAAUCUGGAGAUUUGUGAGUGGACAGUGGGGGUUCCUAGUUAUGUUUCAUGUUGCUGCAUAUUUAUACUAAAUAAAACACAUCUC